CCUCCCUCCCUGCCUCUCUCUCUAUCUCUCUCUCUCCCCCUCUCUCUCCCUCGAGCUCCCGGCUGGCCGCGGCUCCCUCACGCUCUCCCUUCUCCCUCACUCUCCCUCUCUCUCUCUCUCUCUGGUAGGCUCUACCGAGCGAUGCGAGCUCUGAGAGACAGCGACGCCGCCUCCCGCUAGAGACCUGCCCCCCGGCCCGGCCCCCUGCCCAGCCCUGCCCAACGCGCGGGGGUCGGCGAAGGCGCCGCGGACGCACCGACGGCUGAGGACCGGCGAUGCACAUGCACUAGCGGCACCCCCUAACUCACUCCCUCCACACCCCGCGCCGCCGCCACCGCCGCCUCCACCGCCUCCUCCUCCGCCGCCGCCUCCUCCUCCUCCGGCAGCCGCGGCAGAAGGACCCACCCUGCCCCCCACCCUACCCUCCGCCGGCUCCGGCUGCGGCUCCAGCCUUGACUAUUAUUUUAUUUAUUUUGGGUCGUGCACCAGCCUCAGUGUCUGCAGCCCGCGCCUCCUCGGCCCGCGGGCGCCUCCUCCCUCGGCUCCGGAGCCCCAGGCCCAGACCACCCUUUCUCGACACCCCCAUACUCCUGCCAGCUGCCGCGAGUCUCCGCUGCUGGAAUCUUGUUAGCGGCAGCCCUUUGGGGGGGCUCUGGUUUCUCGACAUUUUUGUUUCUAGCCAAGGAGAAGAUAUCGUGAUUUCCCCCCCUUUAAGCCCAGGCUCUGCUCUCUGGGGGGGUGGGGGGCGCGCCGAGCCGGGGAGCCGUGCCAGCCGAGUCGCGCGGGCUGUGGCAAGGAAGGGGCCACCAUGGGAUGUACUCUGAGCGCAGAGGAGAGAGCCGCCCUCGAGCGGAGCAAGGCGAUUGAGAAAAACCUCAAAGAGGAUGGCAUCAGCGCUGCCAAAGACGUGAAAUUACUCCUGCUGGGGGCUGGAGAAUCAGGAAAAAGCACCAUUGUGAAGCAGAUGAAGAUCAUCCAUGAGGAUGGCUUCUCUGGAGAAGAUGUGAAACAGUACAAGCCUGUCGUCUACAGCAACACCAUCCAGUCCCUGGCAGCCAUCGUCCGGGCCAUGGACACUUUGGGCAUCGAAUAUGGUGACAAGGAGAGAAAGGCCGACGCCAAGAUGGUGUGUGACGUGGUGAGUCGGAUGGAAGACACUGAGCCCUUUUCUCCAGAACUGCUCUCAGCCAUGAUGCGGCUCUGGGGGGACUCAGGAAUCCAAGAGUGCUUCAACCGGUCUCGGGAGUAUCAGCUCAACGACUCUGCCAAAUACUACCUGGACAGCCUGGAUCGGAUCGGGGCUGCCGACUACCAGCCCACUGAGCAGGACAUCCUUCGAACCAGGGUCAAAACCACCGGCAUCGUAGAAACCCACUUCACAUUCAAGAACCUCCACUUCAGGCUGUUUGACGUUGGGGGUCAGCGAUCUGAACGUAAGAAGUGGAUCCAUUGCUUUGAGGACGUCACGGCCAUCAUCUUCUGCGUCGCACUCAGCGGCUAUGACCAGGUGCUCCAUGAAGACGAAACCACGAACCGCAUGCACGAAUCUCUGAAGCUUUUUGACAGCAUCUGCAACAACAAAUGGUUCACAGAUACAUCCAUCAUCCUAUUUCUUAACAAGAAGGACAUAUUUGAAGAGAAGAUCAAGAAGUCUCCGCUAACCAUCUGCUUUCCUGAAUACACAGGCCCUAAUACCUAUGAAGAUGCAGCCGCCUACAUCCAAGCACAAUUUGAAAGCAAAAACCGCUCACCCAACAAAGAAAUUUAUUGUCACAUGACUUGUGCCACAGACACGAAUAAUAUCCAGGUGGUAUUCGACGCCGUCACCGACAUCAUCAUUGCCAACAACCUCCGGGGCUGCGGCUUGUACUGACCUCUUGUCCUGUAUAGCAACCUAUUUGACUGCUUCACGGACUCUUUGCUGUUGACGUUGAUCUCCUGGUAGCAUGACCUUUUGGCCUUUGUAAGACACACAGCCUUUCUGUAUCAAGCCCCUGUCUAACCUACGACCCCAGAGUGACUGACGGCUGUGUAUUUCUGUAGAAUGCUGUAGAAUCCGGUUUUAGUUGAGUCUUUACAUUUAGAAUUUGAAAGGAAACAAAGAAUAUUUCUCAUGUGCUUUGUAGCUUUAAAAAAAGAAAAAAAGGAAAACUCACCAGUUCAUCCAUAUUUCUUUCUUUAUCUUUUCAAAUAAAGAAACGUCCACAUCUACACUCAUGCCCUCCCCAUCGCACCUUGUGGCGUGGCCCCCAGCGCACCUGCAGAGGCGCUGGCCCAUCUGCCACCAAGGGCUCCUUUGUGAUGCACUGGCCGGCGGGAGUGUGCACAGGCCGGGAUUUCCAGAAGGCACCCUGCUGCCUGUCAGCCUCUCAGACAUGCCGGACACUGAGCAGUGGCAGCUCCCACUGUCCCAGCCUAAGCCACUCCAGCCACACAAUCCAGGUUUGCAGAGAAAAAGCACAGCUCUCACUGGCCAGUAGCUGCCAAAAAGAAUACCUAUUGUAUAUGGGUAUAAAGAAAUAGAGCCCUACGGAAAAGGAUUUUCCUGCCAACCCCCUUUCUACAGAUUUCCUUUUUUUUUUUUUUUUAAUUUUUUGUCCUGAUGAGUACUAUCUAGUACAUACCAGAUCAGCUAUCAUAGUCUUGAGGUGAUGGGGUUGUGGUUUUUUUCCUUUGCCAUUUUAGAUUUUCAGACUUUGAGGCGGAUGCCCUCCUCUCGUGUGUGUGCUCCCCCUCCACUCUUCUUUGUUUCAGUGACCUGUGUUCGCUCUUUCUCAUGUGGGGAUGUUUGUGCUGCAGAUAAAAAGAACAACAACAAAAAAUUUUUAAAUACCACGUGAUGGAAAAAAACACAAAAAAAAUUUUAAAAAAAAGAUGGAAUGUAGUGUUUACAUUAAAGCCACAGUUUUCAUGAUCAGUUCUAUGUCAUUUCUACUUUGUCUAGUAUCCAAACCCCAAACCUCUUCACAGUUUCACUUUUAAGAAAAUAUUUGCUGAAGACCAGUCACAGCCGUUUCAAAUAAAGAGGAGGCAAAAAGAGAAGACACAUAAAAAAUUAAAAAUACAGAAAAAAAAAACUUGAAAAAAAAAAAAAGAAAAAAAAGCCCACGGAUCUUUCUAAGCCUUUCUACUCCCAAUCGGUGAGGUUUCUGUGAUAUCUUACACACUGCCAGUCUACUUCUCUAAUGGAAAAUUCAUGUGUAGCUCAAUAAAGAGAAUGUUUGUCUGUA